rnacentral:rRNA from 1 species
CUGCAACUCGACUACAUGAAGCUGGAAUCGCUAGUAAUCGCGGAUCAGAAUGCCGCGGUGAAUACGUUCCCGGGUCUUGUACACACCGCCCGUCACACCAUGGGAGUCGGGAAUGCCCGAAGCCAGUGACCCAAGCGAAAGCAGGGAGCUGUCGAAGGCAGGCCGGAUAACUGGGGUGAAGUCGUAACAAGGUACC